AAUGAACGCUGGCGGCAGGCCUAACACAUGCAAGUCGAACGGAUCCUUCGGGAUUAGUGGCGGACGGGUGAGUAACGCGUGGGAACAUACCCCUUGGUACGGAAUAGCCUCGGGAAACUGGGAGUAAUACCGUAUGUGGCCGAGAGACGAAAGAUUAGUCGCCAAAGGAUUGGCCCGCGUUGGAUUAGGUAGUGUGUGGGGUAAUGGCCUACCAAGCCGACGAUCCAUAACUGGUUUGAGAGUAUGAUCAGCCACACUGGGACUGGGACACGGCCCAGACUCCUACGGGAGGCAGCAGUGGGGGAUCUUAGACAAUGGGGGAAACCCUGAUCUAGCCAUGCCGCGUGAUCGAUGAAGGCCUUAGGGUUGUAAAGAUCUUUCAGGUGGGAAGAUAAUGACUGUACCACCAGAAGAAGCCCCGGCUAACUCCGUGCCAGCAGCCGCGGUAA
rnacentral:rRNA from 1 species